rnacentral:rRNA from 1 species
UACGUAGGGACCAAGCGUUGUUCGGAUUUACUGGGCGUAAAGGGCACGUAGGCGGCUUGUCAAGUCACUUGUGAAAUCUCUGGGCUUAACCCAGAACGGCCAAGUGAAACUGACAUGCUAGAGUGCAGAAGGGGCAAUCGGAAUUCUUGGUGUAGCGGUGAAAUGCGUAGAUAUCAAGAGGAACACCUGAGGUGAAGACGGGUUGCUGGGCUGACACUGACGCUGAGGCGCGAAAGCCAGGGGAGCAAACGGG